AGAGUUUGAUCAUGGCUCAGAUUGAACGCUGGCGGCGGGCCUAACACAUGCAAGUCGAACGGCAACAGGAAGAAGCUUGCUUCUUUGCUGACGAGUGGCGGACGGGUGAGUAAUGUCUGGGAAACUGCCUGAUGGAGGGGGAUAACUACUGGAAACGGUAGCUAAUACCGCAUAACGUCGCAAGACCAAAGAGGGGGACCUUCGGGCCUCUUGCCAUCGGAUGUGCCCAGAUGGGAUUAGCUAGUAGGUGGGGUAACGGCUCACCUAGGCGACGAUCCCUAGCUGGUCUGAGAGGAUGACCAGCCACACUGGAACUGAGACACGGUCCAGACUCCUACGGGAGGCAGCAGUGGGGAAUAUUGCACAAUGGGCGCAAGCCUGAUGCAGCCAUGCCGCGUGUAUGAAGAAGGCCUUCGGGUUGUAAAGUACUUUCAGCGGGGAGGAAGGGAGUAAAGUUAAUACCUUUGCUCAUUGACGUUACCCGCAGAAGAAGCACCGGCUAACUCCGUGCCAGCAGCCGCGGUAAUACGGAGGGUGCAAGCGUUAAUCGGAAUUACUGGGCGUAAAGCGCACGCAGGCGGUUUGUUAAGUCAGAUGUGAAAUCCCCGGGCUCAACCUGGGAACUGCAUCUGAUACUGGCAAGCUUGAGUCUCGUAGAGGGGGGUAGAAUUCCAGGUGUAGCGGUGAAAUGCGUAGAGAUCUGGAGGAAUACCGGUGGCGAAGGCGGCCCCCUGGACGAAGACUGACGCUCAGGUGCGAAAGCGUGGGGAGCAAACAGAAUUAGAUACCCUGGUAGUCCACGCCGUAAACGAUGUCGACUUGGAGGUUGUGCCCUUGAGGCGUGGCUUCCGGAGCUAACGCGUUAAGUCGACCGCCUGGGGAGUACGGCCGCAAGGUUAAAACUCAAAUGAAUUGACGGGGGCCCGCACAAGCGGUGGAGCAUGUGGUUUAAUUCGAUGCAACGCGAAGAACCUUACCUGGUCUUGACAUCCACGGAAGUUUUCAGAGAUGAGAAUGUGCCUUCGGGAACCGUGAGACAGGUGCUGCAUGGCUGUCGUCAGCUCGUGUUGUGAAAUGUUGGGUUAAGUCCCGCAACGAGCGCAACCCUUAUCCUUUGUUGCCAGCGGUCCGGCCGGGAACUCAAAGGAGACUGCCAGUGAUAAACUGGAGGAAGGUGGGGAUGACGUCAAGUCAUCAUGGCCCUUACGACCAGGGCUACACACGUGCUACAAUGGCGCAUACAAAGAGAAGCGACCUCGCGAGAGCAAGCGGACCUCAUAAAGUGCGUCGUAGUCCGGAUUGGAGUCUGCAACUCGACUCCAUGAAGUCGGAAUCGCUAGUAAUCGUGGAUCAGAAUGCCACGGUGAAUACGUUCCCGGGCCUUGUACACACCGCCCGUCACACCAUGGGAGUGGGUUGCAAAAGAAGUAGGUAGCUUAACCUUCGGGAGGGCGCUUACCACUUUGUGAUUCAUGACUGGGGUGAAGUCGUAACAAGGUA
rnacentral:rRNA from 1 species